AUGGCCUCCUUCAAGCUGACGAACCUGUGCUUCAUAGUUGUCAUGUUCUCUGCUGUCUUCUCCUGUUGCAGAGGGCAGGGAGGUGGUGGUGGUGCCGGAGCAGGAGCAGGAGGCGGAGCCGGAGGGGGGUCGGGCAUCGGUGCAGUAGUACCAGGAACGCAGGACUCGGUUCAGAUCGUGGCGCAAGCUGCUCUCUGCUUUGACAACAGACCAGUGCUCACCGGGUGUCUGCAGGCGAUGGGCAUCAACGCCAGCGGCACCGGCGCGAGCAUGCCGCCGCCUGCUCCGGGCGGCGCGGCGACGGCGAUCAUGUGCAGCCCGCCGUGCUUCGGACACGUGACCAUGAUGAUGAGCUGCGUCAACGCCAUCUUCGGCAACUUCGUGACCUACAACCCCGGCCUCAUGCAGGGCGUCCAGGCCGUCUUCCAGAUGUCCUGCGGCAACGUCAACGGCCCAGGAGGAGCCGGAGGUGCUGCUGGUGGAAUGGGAGGCAGGCCGGCUGGUAACGCUGGCGGUGGUGCCGGUGCCGGCGGAAUGGGAGGCGGGCCGGCUGGUAACGCUGGCGGCGGUGCCGGUGCCGGCAGUGCCAGUGGUGGAGUUGGAGGCGGGGCUGCCGGUGGCAUUCCUAACGGCAUCGGCGGGCCCGGUGGCAUUCCUAACAGUAUCGGCGGUGCCGCUGGCGCGGCCGGUGCCAGCGGGGGAGGUGCCGGUGGUACUACUAACAUCAUCGGCGGGGCCGCGGGCGGAGGCGCCGGUGCCGGCGGAGCUAGCGGCGGGGCUGGAGGCGGCAACGGCACUACCAACGGCGGCGCUGCCACCGGUGCCAUUGGCAGCGGCAACAUCACAAGCGUCUCACCCAAUGCAGGCUCGCACGUGGCGGUGAGCAACCAAAGUCAGCCGACCAGCAGCGCGGGCGGGCCCGCUCUCGGCCUCAAGGGCGCCUGCUCCUCCUCCGUGCUGGUGAUCUGGGCCGGCGCAUGGCUGGUGCUGUUCUAG
rnacentral:rRNA from 1 species